rnacentral:rRNA from 1 species
AAUGAACGCUAGCGGCAGGCCUAAUACAUGCAAGUCGAACGGUGUCUUCGGACAUAGUGGCGCACGGGUGCGUAACACGUAUGCAACCUACCUUACAUUGGGGGAUAGCCUUUCGAAAGGGAGAUUAAUACCGCAUAAGACAGUAGCUGGGCAUCCAGCAGCUGUUAAAGAUUUAUCGAUGUAAGCUGGGCAUGCGUCCAAUUAGCUAGUUGGUGAGGUAACGGCUCACCAAGGCAAUGAUUGGUAGGGGAACUGAGAGGUCAAUCCCCCACACUGGCACUGAGAUACGGGCCAGACUCCUACGGGAGGCAGCAGUGGGGAAUUUUGGACAAUGGGCGCAAGCCUGAUCCAGCCAUUCCGCGUGCAGGAAGAAGGCCUUCGGGUUGUAAACUGCUUUUGUACGGAACGAAACGCGCUGAGCUAAUACCUCGGCGUAAUGACGGUACCGUAAGAAUAAGCACCGGCUAACUACGUGCCAGCCGCCGCCGUAA